rnacentral:rRNA from 1 species
AUUGAACGCUGGCGGCAGGCUUAACACAUGCAAGUCGAGCGGAGCGAGGGUGCUUGCACCUUAGCUUAGCGGCGGACGGGUGAGUAAUGCUUAGGAAUCUGCCUAUUAGUGGGGGACAACAUUCCGAAAGGAAUGCUAAUACCGCAUACGCCCUACGGGGGAAAGCAGGGGAUCUUCGGACCUUGCGCUAAUAGAUGAGCCUAAGUCGGAUUAGCUAGUUGGUGGGGUAAAGGCCUACCAAGGCGACGAUCUGUAGCGGGUCUGAGAGGAUGAGCCGCCACACUGGGACUGAGACACGGCCCAGACUCCUACGGGAGGCAGCAGUGGGGAAUAUUGGACAAUGGGCGGAAGCCUGAUCCAGCCAUGCCGCGUGUGUGAAGAAGGCCUUUUGGUUGUAAAGCACUUUAAGCGAGGAGGAGGCUCUUUUGGUUAAUACCCAAGAUGAGUGGACGUUACUCGCAGAAUAAGCACCGGCUAACUCUGUGCCAGCCGCCGCAGUAAAAC